rnacentral:lncRNA from 1 species
GCCUGCAGGAAGUUCAGAAAGAAGCCUCCGGGACAUGAGAGGAUUGUGAGCAAAGAGAGGCCUCCUGGCUCAGGUGUGACCUGUACAAGCAGUGAAGAGGGGGUGAAGUUAUGUGCCAACCUGAGAAGCACGUAACUCACGGUGUCAGAGGACAGCUGAGAAAGGUGUGCAGUUAAGGUGAUGAAGAUGACGACAGCUGUUUAUGCUGUAAUGAAAGACACGGACCUAGACAAGAAUUACUCUUCUGUGGGAAAAUGGAGCCCCUGGCACCAGGACUGGAAAGCCUCGUGGGUCCAGAAACUCCUGGAAGAGAAGUGUGCUUGAAGAGAGAUCCUGCUGAAGAUGGAAGCCACAGAGUGGGUGUUGUGUGUUCUCUGAUGAACCCUCAGCUCCAGUGAACACAUGGAAAGUUCCCCAACAUGCCAUCUCUCUGGGUAAAUUAUCACCACCUCCUUGCUGCCUUCACAUGGCUUUUUCCUGGUGUAUGCAUCCAUAGAAAGAAUGAGCUCUCGGAUAAGGGCAUUGAGGACCACACUUCAUCUCAGGUACCUUCCUCAAGUGACCUCAUUCAACUUUAAGUGCUUCCCAAAAGGCCUGCAUCCAAAUACAGUCGCACUGAGGGUUAGUUGGAGCUUCCAUGUGUAAAUCUGGAGAGGGACAACAUCCAGGCAACCAUUAUUGACUGUCCACUAAGGAAUCUCUGGGACCAUCUGAGCCCAGAUCUGUCCAAGGAUUCACACACGCCCCUGCUCUGCAGAGAAGCCUGUGCAAUGCUUGCAGAGGGACCAAAGCUCUGCACCUUCACAGAGAUGGGGGAAAGUUUAAGACGAUGCUGGAGACACUGUUGAGACCAGGUGACUGAUUCAACCCUGUCAUUUUGCAGUCUGAGUGCCACUGUGAGCUUCACUAAGGUACAUCAGAAAUGAGGCAAUUACCCAUCACUCAGGUUCCUGCCCUCUCUGAUCUAUUUGGCUCAUAGAUGGACCUGAGCCACCAUUAGGAUCUGGAAUAACAAAGACGGGGUGUUUGCUUUGGAGACUCUGUCUCAUGACAGUGUGACUGGCCUACUGAUGUCUCUAGUACCCAGAAGACAGGUGACACAAAGAUGGAGGCAGAGUCCAGAGGAGCCGGCUCCAUAAAGCCGGUUCACUUUGCAUCAUUAGUUCCACUCCCCCCAACUCCCCCCAUCACAGUGAACCGUCUGUCUAUUUCCGUCACGGGGACUUUACUUCAAGUUAAAAUACAGUGUGCUUGUCUCUGGGCCCUCUCCCACAUCUUGUUCUGCGUAGCCCUGUUCAG